GCUGGGCGUGGUGGUGAGCACCUGUAAUCCAAGCUACUGGGAGGCUGAGGCAGGAGAAUUGCUUGAACCCGGGAGGUAGAGGUUGCAGUGAGCAGAGAUCACACCACUGCCACUGCACUCUAGCCUGGGUAACAGAGUGAGACUCUGUCCCAA
ensembl:misc_RNA Metazoa_SRP Metazoan signal recognition particle RNA